GCUGGGCGUGGUGGCGCACACCUGUAAUCCCAGCUACUCAGGAGGCUGAGGCAGGAGAAUCGCUUGAGCACAGGAGGCAGAUGUUGCAGUGAGCCGAGAUGGUGCCACUGCACACCAGCCUGGGCAACAGAGGGAGACUCAGUCUCAA
rfam:Pan troglodytes isolate Yerkes chimp pedigree #C0471 (Clint) chromosome 12, whole genome shotgun sequence.